UACGUAGGGGGCAAGCGUUGUCCGGAAUCAUUGGGCGUAAAGAGCGUGUAGGCGGCUUGGUAAGUCCGCUGUGAAAGUCCAGGGCUCAACCCUGGAAUGCCGGUGGAAACUGUCAAGCUUGAGUCCGGAAGAGGCGAGUGGAAUUCCUGGUGUAGCGGUGAAAUGCGCAGAUAUCAGGAGGAACACCAAUGGCGAAGGCAGCUCGCUGGGACGGUACUGACGCCGAGACGCGAAAGCGUGGGGAGCAAACAGG
rnacentral:rRNA from 1 species